GAUGAACGCUAGCGGCAGGCCUAAUACAUGCAAGUCGGACGGGAUUGAGUAGCUUGCUAUUCAUGAGAGUGGCGCACGGGUGCGUAACACGUAUGUAACCUACCCUUGUCAGGGGGAUAGCCUCUCGAAAGAGAGAUUAAGACCGCAUAACAUUGUAAUGUGGCAUCACAAAACAAUCAAAUAUUUAUAGGACAAGGAUGGGCAUGCGGAACAUUAGCUAGUUGGUAAGGUAACGGCUUACCAAGGCUACGAUGUUUAGGGGAUCUGAGAGGAUGACCCCCCACACUGGUACUGAGACACGGACCAGACUCCUACGGGAGGCAGCAGUAAGGAAUAUUGGUCAAUGGGCGGAAGCCUGAACCAGCCAUGCCGCGUGCAGGAAGACGGCCCUAUGGGUUGUAAACUGCUUUUGCAGGGGAAUAAACCUCGAUACGUGUAUCGAGCUGAAUGUACUCUGAGGAUAAGGAUCGGCUAACUCCGUGCCAGCAGCCGCAGUAAGAC
rnacentral:rRNA from 1 species